GCAUAGAUAAUGUGCCCCUUAGUUCGGGAUAGCCACUGGAAACGGUGAUUAAUACCGGAUACUCCUUCUUGUUAUAAGACAAGUCGGGAAAGUUUUUCGCUAAGGGAUCAGUCUAUGUUCCAUCAGCUUGUUGGUGAGGUAAUGGCUCACCAAGGCUAUGACGGAUAUCUGGUUUGAGAGGAUGAUCAGACACACUGGAACUGAGACACGGUCCAGACUCCUACGGGAGGCAGCAGUGAGGAAUAUUGCACAAUGGAGGAAACUCUGAUGCAGCAACGCCGCGUGGAGGAUGACGCAUUUCGGUGUGUAAACUCCUUUUAUUAGGGAAGAUAAUGACGGUACCUAAUGAAUAAGCACCGGCUAACUCCGUGCCAGCAGCCGCGGUAAUACGGAGGGUGCAAGCGUUACUCGGAAUCACUGGGCGUAAAGGGUGCGUAGGCUGGCUUUUAAGUCAGAUGUGAAAUCCAAUGGCUCAACCAUUGAACUGCAUUUGAAACUGAAAGCCUAGAGUUCAGAAGGGGCAGAUGGAAUUAGUGGUGUAGGGGUAAAAUCCGUAGAUAUCACUAGGAAUAUCAAAAGCGAAGGCGAUCUGCUGGGAU
rnacentral:rRNA from 1 species